UUAAGUUAUUAAGGGCGCACGGUGGAUGCCUUGGCACUAGAAGCCGAUGAAGGACGUUACUAACGACGAUAUGCUUUGGGGAGCUGUAAGUAAGCUUUGAUCCAGAGAUUUCCGAAUGGGGAAACCCAGCAUGAGUUAUGUCAUGUUAUCGAUAUGUGAAUACAUAGCAUAUCAGAAGGCACACCCGGAGAACUGAAACAUCUUAGUACCCGGAGGAAGAGAAAGAAAAUUCGAUUCCCUUAGUAGCGGCGAGCGAAACGGGAAGAGCCCAAACCAACAAGCUUGCUUGUUGGGGUUGUAGGACACUCUAUACGGAGUUACAAAGGACGACAUUAGACGAAUCAUCUGGAAAGAUGAAUCAAAGAAGGUAAUAAUCCUGUAGUCGAAAAUGUUGUCUCUCUUGAGUGGAUCCUGAGUACGACGGAGCACGUGAAAUUCCGUCGGAAUCUGGGAGGACCAUCUCCUAAGGCUAAAUACUCUCUAGUGACCGAUAGUGAACCAGUACCGUGAGGGAAAGGUGAAAAGCACCCCGGAAGGGGAGUGAAAUAGAACCUGAAACCGUGUGCUUACAAGUAGUCAGAGCCCGUUAAUGGGUGAUGGCGUGCCUUUUGUAGAAUGAACCGGCGAGUUACGAUUUGAUGCAAGGUUAAGCAGUAAAUGUGGAGCCGUAGCGAAAGCGAGUCUGAAUAGGGCGUUUAGUAUUUGGUCGUAGACCCGAAACCAGGUGAUCUACCCUUGGUCAGGUUGAAGUUCAGGUAACACUGAAUGGAGGACCGAACCGACUUACGUUGAAAAGUGAGCGGAUGAACUGAGGGUAGCGGAGAAAUUCCAAUCGAACCUGGAGAUAGCUGGUUCUCUCCGAAAUAGCUUUAGGGCUAGCCUCAAGUGAUGAUUAUUGGAGGUAGAGCACUGUUUGGACGAGGGGCCCCUCUCGGGUUACCGAAUUCAGACAAACUCCGAAUGCCAAUUAAUUUAACUUGGGAGUCAGAACAUGGGUGAUAAGGUCCGUGUUCGAAAGGGAAACAGCCCAGACCACCAGCUAAGGUCCCAAAAUAUAUGUUAAGUGGAAAAGGAUGUGGCGUUGCCCAGACAACUAGGAUGUUGGCUUAGAAGCAGCCAUCAUUUAAAGAGUGCGUAAUAGCUCACUAGUCGAGUGACACUGCGCCGAAAAUGUACCGGGGCUAAACAUAUUACCGAAGCUGUGGAUUGUCCUUUGGACAAUGGUAGGAGAGCGUUCUAAGGGCGUUGAAGCAUGAUCGUAAGGACAUGUGGAGCGCUUAGAAGUGAGAAUGCCGGUGUGAGUAGCGAAAGACGGGUGAGAAUCCCGUCCACCGAUUGACUAAGGUUUCCAGAGGAAGGCUCGUCCGCUCUGGGUUAGUCGGGUCCUAAGCUGAGGCCGACAGGCGUAGGCGAUGGAUAACAGGUUGAUAUUCCUGUACCACCUAUAAUCGUUUUAAUCGAUGGGGGGACGCAGUAGGAUAGGCGAAGCGUGCGAUUGGAUUGCACGUCUAAGCAGUAAGGCUGAGUAUUAGGCAAAUCCGGUACUCGUUAAGGCUGAGCUGUGAUGGGGAGAAGACAUUGUGUCUUCGAGUCGUUGAUUUCACACUGCCGAGAAAAGCCUCUAGAUAGAAAAUAGGUGCCCGUACCGCAAACCGACACAGGUAGUCAAGAUGAGAAUUCUAAGGUGAGCGAGCGAACUCUCGUUAAGGAACUCGGCAAAAUGACCCCGUAACUUCGGGAGAAGGGGUGCUCUUUAGGGUUAACGCCCAGAAGAGCCGCAGUGAAUAGGCCCAAGCGACUGUUUAUCAAAAACACAGGUCUCUGCUAAACCGUAAGGUGAUGUAUAGGGGCUGACGCCUGCCCGGUGCUGGAAGGUUAAGAGGAGUGGUUAGCUUCUGCGAAGCUACGAAUCGAAGCCCCAGUAAACGGCGGCCGUAACUAUAACGGUCCUAAGGUAGCGAAAUUCCUUGUCGGGUAAGUUCCGACCCGCACGAAAGGCGUAACGAUUUGGGCACUGUCUCAACGAGAGACUCGGUGAAAUCAUAGUACCUGUGAAGAUGCAGGUUACCCGCGACAGGACGGAAAGACCCCGUGGAGCUUUACUGUAGCCUGAUAUUGAAAUUCGGCACAGCUUGUACAGGAUAGGUAGGAGCCUUUGAAACGUGAGCGCUAGCUUACGUGGAGGCGCUGGUGGGAUACUACCCUAGCUGUGUUGGCUUUCUAACCCGCACCACUUAUCGUGAUGGGAGACAGUGUCAGGCGGGCAGUUUGACUGGGGCGGUCGCCUCCUAAAAGGUAACGGAGGCGCUCAAAGGUUCCCUCAGAAUGGUUGGAAAUCAUUCAUAGAGUGUAAAGGCAUAAGGGAGCUUGACUGCGAGACCUACAAGUCGAGCAGGGUCGAAAGACGGACUUAGUGAUCCGGUGGUUCCGCAUGGAAGGGCCAUCGCUCAACGGAUAAAAGCUACCCCGGGGAUAACAGGCUUAUCUCCCCCAAGAGUUCACAUCGACGGGGAGGUUUGGCACCUCGAUGUCGGCUCAUCGCAUCCUGGGGCUGUAGUCGGUCCCAAGGGUUGGGCUGUUCGCCCAUUAAAGCGGUACGCGAGCUGGGUUCAGAACGUCGUGAGACAGUUCGGUCCCUAUCCGUCGUGGGCGUAGGAAAUUUGAGAGGAGCUGUCCUUAGUACGAGAGGACCGGGAUGGACAUACCUCUGGUGUACCAGUUGUCGUGCCAACGGCAUAGCUGGGUAGCUAUGUGUGGACGGGAUAAGUGCUGAAAGCAUCUAAGCAUGAAGCCCCCCUCAAGAUGAGAUUUCCCAACUUCGGUUAUAAGAUCCCUCAAAGAUGAUGAGGUUAAUAGGUUCGAGGUGGAAGCAUGGUGACAUGUGGAGCUGAUGAAUACUAAUCGAUCGAAGACUUAAUCAA
rnacentral:rRNA from 1 species